rnacentral:rRNA from 1 species
UCGCUUUGGGAGGAGCUCGCUUACUAUCAGCUUGUUGGUAGGGUAAUGGCCUACCAAGGCUAUGACGGUUAGGGGGUGUGAGAGCAUGACCCCCAGCAUUGGCACUGAAACACUGGCCAAACACCUACGGGUGGCUGCAGUCGAGAAUCUUCCACAAUGGGGGAAACCCUGAUGGAGCGAUGCUGCGUGCGGGAUGAAGGCCUUCGGGUUGUAAACCGCUUUUGUAGGGGACGAAAUUUUUGACGGUACCCUUUCGAAUAAGAGGUUGCUAACUCUGUGCCAGCAGCAGCGGUAAUACAGAGACCUCAAGCGUUAUCCGGAUUUACUGGGCGUAAAGCGUCUGUAGGGGGUUUAUUAAGUUCCAAGUAAAAUUUCAAGGCUCAACUUUGAAUUCGCUUGGAAAACUAAUAAACUGGAGUCUAGCAGAGGUGCAUGGAACUUGUGGUGUAGGAGUGAAAUCCGUUGAUAUCACAAGGAACACCAAAGGCGAAGGCAUUGCACUGGGCUAGCACUGACCCUGAGAGACGAAAGCGUGGGGAGCAAAACGGAUUAGAUACCCGUGUAGUCCACGCCCUAAACGAUGAAUGCUAAAUGUUCGGGGAUUCGACCCCCUGGGUGUUACAGCUAACGCGUUAAGCAUUCCGCCUGGGAAGUACGGCCGCAAGGCUAAAACUCAAAGGAAUAGACGGGGAUCCGCACAAGCGGUGGAGCGUCUGGUUUAAUUCGACAGUAAGCGUGGUACCUCACCAGGGUUUGACAUCCCUUGACAGCCUUGGAAACAAGGUUUCCUUCGGGCAAGGUGACAGGUGCUGCAUGGUCGUCGUCAGUUCGUGCCGUGAGGUGUUCCGUUAAGUCGGGAAACGAACGAAACCCCUAUUGCAUGUUACAAUUUCUCAUGCAAGACUGCCCGGAUAUACUGGGAGGAAGGUGGGGAUGACGUCAGAUCUGCAUGGUCCUUAUACCCUGGGCGACACAGGCGCUACAAUGGCAGAGACAAAGGGUUGCAAAACCGCAAGGUGAAGCUAAUCCCAAAAACUUUGUCUAAGUUCGGAUUGAAGGCUGCAAUUCGCCUUCAUGAAGCUGGAAUCGCUAGUAAUCGUGAAUCAGCCACGUCACGGUGAAUAUGUUCCCGGAUCUUGUACUCACCGCCCGUCACACCAAGAGAGUUGGUAGCUCCCGAAGCGUCCCGUUUUAGCGGGGCAUCACGGAGAGAUCAGCGAU